CCUACGGGUGGCUGCAGUGGGGAAUAUUGCACAAUGGGGGAAACCCUGAUGCAGCGACGCCGCGUGAGUGAAGAAGUAAUUCGUUACGGAAAGCUCUAUCAGCAGGGAAGAAACACUGACCUUACGGUCAGCAGACGGUACCUGAGUAAGAAGCCCCGGCUAACUACGUGCCAGCAGCCGAGGUAAUACGUAGGGGGCAAGCGUUAUCCGGAUUUACUGGGUGUAAAGGGAGCGUAGACGGUGCGACAAGGCUGGAGUGAAAUGCCGCAGCUUAACUGCGGAGCUGCUGUGGAAACUGGCGAACGAGAGUGCGGGAGGGGUAAGCAGAAUUCCUAGUGUAGCGGUGCAAUGCGUAGAUAUUAGGAGGAACACCGGUGGCGAAGGCGGCUUACUGGACCGUAACUGACGUUGAGGCUCGAAAGCGUGGGGAGCAAACAGGAUUAGAUACCCGAGUAGUC
rnacentral:rRNA from 1 species